GAGACCUCGUUGCACGAGGAGCUACGAUACCGCGACGAGGGCGUCUGCGGAUUGGGUGGGGGAGCUUGUCACGGACAAAGGUUUUUGGCUCCACCCAAUCUAUUUUCAUCCCCAAAAUCCACUAAACCUUGGAGCCUCUAGAAUGAUCUAUGGAAUAUUCUAGAGUAUCUCCUAUGGUUUACUUGGGUUUUCUAGAGUUCUCUAGGGAAGGAUAUUCUAGGGAUCUUCUAGAAUGUUGUAAAUAGCACAUGUGUAUAUUGUAAAGAGUAGAAAUAGGUAGAGGGAU
rnacentral:misc_RNA from 1 species